UACGUAGGCGGAAAAUUAAGUCAGUGGUGAAAUCCUGCAGCUUAACUGUAGAACUGUCAUUGAUACUGGUUUUCUUGAAUACAGUUGAGGUAGGCGGAAUGUGUAAUGUAGCGGCGAAAUGCUUAGAUAUUACACAGAACACCGAUUGCGAAGGCAGCUUACUAAACUGUUAUUGACGCUGAGGUACGAAAGCGUGGGGAGCGAACAGGAUUAGAUACCCUGGUAGUCC
rnacentral:rRNA from 1 species